GAUGAAGAACGCAGCGAAAUGCGAUAAUUAAUGUGAAUUGCAGAAUUCCGUGAAUCAUCGAGUCUUUGAACGCACAUUGCGCCCUCUGGUAUUCCGGAGGGCAUGCCUGUCCGAGCGUCAUUGCUGCCCUCAAGCACGGCUUGUGUGUUGGGCCCCGCCCCCCGAUCCCGGGGGGCGGGCCCGAAAGGCAGCGGCGGCACCGCGUCCGGUCCUCGAGCGUAUGGGGCUUUGUCACCCGCUCUGUAGGCCCGGCCGGCGCCUGCCGAUCAACCAAACUUUUUUCCAGGUUGACCUCGGAUCAGGUAGGGAUACCCGCUGAACUUAAGCAUAUCAAUAAGCGGAGGA
rnacentral:misc_RNA from 1 species